UCUCGAUUGGUCUAGUGGUAAGGAUACCUGCUUGUCAUUCAUUGAUUCAAGAAUCAUAGAGCAAGUCGCAGGUGGCCGGGGUUCGAUUCCCCGAUCGAGAG